UUUUUUAUAAAAUAAUUUCAUAAAUUAUUUUUGUUGUACAAAACAAAUUUUCUUUCGUAAAUAAUUUAUAUUAAAAUAUUUAUCCAAAUUGAUUGCUAAAGUUAUUUAUAGUUUUAUUUUAUGAUAGUGUUUAAGCUUUGAGCUGUAGUAACCCUAGUCUGUCCUCGAUCUGUAGAAUAAUCUAGAUUCAUGACUUGCUUUCACUUUUAGCUCAUAAAGCCUUCCGCCUUACAAAUUCAAGCUUACUUUUGCAUAAAGCAUAAACUCACGAUUAUAAAGCACAAAAGGUGUGAACAGAAGCUUUGAAACUAGAAUAGAAAUGACUAGACGUUUUAAUUUCAAAAUAAUUUGUAUAGACUGUUACAACAUUUUAAAAAUUAACUAACACUUGACGAUUUUGAAAACAAAACAUAGCAGGAUGGCUUCAUGUAUAAGCACCAUACCCCUUUUUGUUUUGAGGGUAGGAAUCAUCCUAUGUCUUCUCCUGUUUUGGGCGAGGCGAGAGGAAGUGUCAGACUUACUGACUAAAAACUACCAAUAGGCUAUAAAACAUUAUGUUAUGAGCAAUAGGAACAGAGAAGUGUGUGAGAUAAAUAGUAUAAAAUACGAAAGUAACUCUAGUCUGUGUCUUCUUUAUUACUAAACUAGUGUAUUGAUAUGAAACAAUCCUUGUGUGUUGGAUAGUUCAUUUAUCCAGAUAGGUAAUAGGCUACAAAACAUAAUGCUAAUACUAAUGGGAGCCGAGCAGAGCAAUAAAGUUAGACUGAGUCACUCUACCAAUUUAUUACGAGUUUACGAAAAUUUGAGUGUGUCUCAGAAGUCCUAAUAAGGAAAUACGUAGUUUAAGAAAUACGUAGUCCCGUUUUUUAGUAUUAAAUACAUACCGACUAGGAUGACCUAAAACUUGUUUUCCUAGAGUCUAUUUUAAUUCCUAGUUUAUAGUUAGUAGACUGAUGAUUAACAGACGGAUUUUAAAUAAAAAAUUUUUAUUUCUUUCUUUCUUUCUAGACGUAGUAAAUACGUUGUUUUCUCGUUUUCUAUUACAUUAUGUUAAUAAAUUAGACUGGCGAUAAGUAGGUUAUUGUAAUGUGUAACUUUACUUAUCAGAUUUAAUUAUUUUUACGUGCAAACGUCUGAUGUACUAUUACGCCUUUUAUUUCCAAAGGAGUAGGUAGAUGAGUGCAUAAUAUACUAGGUUUUUUAAAGAGAAAAUCAUCUUAAGUUUUCUCCUUGGGCGAGGCGAGAAGGAGUGUCAGACUCUUACUGAUUAAAUACUAUCCUGUUUCCACUCCUGCUUUGAGUUGGAGGCCUAGUUACCUGGAAAGUCUUCCACAGAUGUAUGAUUAUAUGUAUGUGGGAAAUGUGAGUGUAAGAGUGAGAUAGAAGUAUGUAUGCGAGUGAGAGAAUGAUAGUAAAAUGUCAAAUUCAAGUGACAAAUGAAGAGAGUGGAAAAUAAAAGACGACGAUUGCUAGCCAUAAGACGUUUAAUUUUUCAAGAAGAAAAUCAAUUUAAUUUAUUUCCAGACGGAAAUUUUUCUUUUCCCUGCCCAAUAUCCCACAUGUAUACUAGGUUUUCACCAGUAGGUGAGCCUAAUGCCGUCCCUGCGCAUUUAUGCGUUACGAAAACCAUACAAUAAAAAGAUUUCGCAUAUUUUUACCCGAAAAAAAGAAUUUACCUAAUACACCAGGAAACAAUGAACAAAGGCGACUAGCAUAAUCACCUUUCACCACUACACAAUAGAGCCCAUUCUUCAAUGUCCAUGAUCCACAUACAUGUUCGUACACACACGAAUUUCUGUCAAAAUGCACCAUUGUAUGACAUGAGCUUGUGAAUUAAAAAAAAAACAAUUGACAGUUGUGUCAUUGUUUUGUGUGAACGGAAUUUUUGUGAGCAAUUAGCUAAUGUUCUCAUGUAAACAGCAGCUCAUGUAGUGUAGAUGUCCAGUCAACAAGGAUGUAGCGUAGACUGUCCAGGCGACACACGUACUUAGGUAUCGUCAUGAGCUAAUGUUCACAUGUAAACAGCAGCUCAUGUAGUGUAGAUGUCCAGUCAACAAGGAUGUAGCGAGGUUGACUGUCCAGGCGACACACGUACUUAGGUAUCGUCAUGAGCUAAUGUUCACAUGUAAACAGCAGCUCAUGUAGUGUAGAUGUCCAGUCAACAAGGAUGUAGCGAGGUUGACUGUCCAGGCGACACACGUACUUAGGUAUCGUCAUGAGCUAAUGUUCACAUGUAAACAGCAGCUCAUGUAGUGUAGUUGUCCAGUCAACAAGGAUGUAGCGAGGUUGACUGUCCAGGCGACACACGUACUUAGGUAUCGUCAUGAGCUAAUGUUCACAUGUAAACAGCAGCUCAUGUAGUGUAGAUGUCCAGUCAACAAGGAUGUAGCGAGGUUGACUGUCCAGGCGACACACGUACUUAGGUAUCGUCAUGAGCUAAUGUUCACAUGUAAACAGCAGCUCAUGUAGUGUAGAUGUCCAGUCAACAAGGAUGUAGCGAGGUUGACUGUCCAGGCGACACACGUACUUAGGUAUCGUCAUGAGCUAAUGUUCACAUGUAAACAGCAGCUCAUGUAGUGUAGUUGUCCAGUCAACAAGGAUGUAGCGAGGUUGACUGUCCAGGCGACACACGUACUUAGGUAUCGUCAUGAGCUAAUGUUCACAUGUAAACAGCAGCUCAUGUAGUGUAGAUGUCCAGUCAACAAGGAUGUAGCGAGGUUGACUGUCCAGGCGACACACGUACUUAGGUAUCGUCAUGAGCUAAUGUUCACAUGUAAACAGCAGCUCAUGUAGUGUAGAUGUCCAG